UGUUUACUCCUAAAAUGUCGGGUUUAGUUACAUAAAUCGCAGUUUAUCACUGGUCAAUUGAAGGUGAUUCUGAGCCUCUGAAAAUGUUUGAGAGAACAAUUAAUCUGGUGAACAAUCGAAUUAUUAACUACCGAUGUGAUACUUCCGAGAAGUGGCUGGUUUUGAUUGGCAUUGCUCCAGCCUCCCCGGAGAGGCCACAAUUGGUCAAGGGGAACAUGCAACUUUUCUUU